ACGACGACCUGAAGGAGAUGUUGGACAGCAACAAAGACUCGCUGAAGCUGGAGGCGAUGAAGCGCAUCGUGGCUAUGAUCGCACGUGGAAAAAAUGCAUCUGAUCUCUUCCCUGCUGUGGUGAAAAAUGUGGCCUGUAAAAACAUUGAGGUGAAGAAGCUGGUGUAUGUUUACUUGGUGCGUUACGCAGAGGAGCAGCAGGACCUCGCUCUGCUCUCCAUCUCCACCUUCCAGAGGGGGU